rnacentral:rRNA from 1 species
AGCGAACGCUGGCGGCAUGCCUAACACAUGCAAGUCGAACGGCAGCACACUAAGAGCUUGCUCUUAUGGGUGGCGAGUGGCGGACGGGUGAGGAAUACAUCGGAAUCUACUUUUUCGUGGGGGAUAACGUAGGGAAACUUACGCUAAUACCGCAUACGACCUACGGGUGAAAGCAGGGGAUCUUCGGACCUUGCGCGAUUGAAUGAGCCGAUGUCGGAUUAGCUAGUUGGCGGGGUAAAGGCCCACCAAGGCGACGAUCCGUAGUUGGUCUGAGAGGAUGGUCGGCCACACUAGAGCUGAGACGCGGUCCAGGCUACUACGGGAGGCAGCAGUGGGGAAUAUUAGACAAUGGGCGCAAGCAUGAUCCAGCCAUGCCGCGUGGGUGAAGAAGGCCUUCGGGUUGUAAAGCCCUUUUGUUGGGAGAGAAAAGCAGCAGGUUGAUACGCCGCUGUUCUGACGGUACCCAAAGAAUAAGCACCGGCUAACUACGUG